rnacentral:lncRNA from 1 species
AUAGCGUGGAAUGUCUUUGUGUUUUGUCGUUGGCUAAUCAAAGCUCUCUCAGUUGCUGUAACCACAUUCAUUUGGCAAUUACAAGAACGCGGCAAUACACCUCAACAUCUACAGAAAGAAGUCCUAAGGAACUCAAAAAGAAUCAAUCUAAAGAUUAUCAAAGAUGUACAUCGAGUGGUUACCUUUGUUUCUACUCGUCGGUGUUGUGACUAUAGCCUUGGUUAUACCAGAGACAGAAUGCUUNUUCAGCUUACCAGAAGGCGCAAAAAUUAGCGGCAAAAGAAAGAAGGAAAUUCCAAUCGAAAAAAGAAUUUCAAGAGAUUGUCGCGAGAACGACUGGGUUUGUAAACGCUUCAAGAGAACUAGAAGUGAAGAGCGAAGACAUUUUAUGGACAUAUACCCUGGGAAUUACGAAAAUGUUUAGAUUACUAAUCGUACAGAGAGAACUGCAGACAACAAGAAAUGCUUGGCAGUAACUGCUAGUGAGAGAUGCCUCACAAGAAAUAUUAAGAACAAAACUAAUAAUAUUAACUAGAUGAAACAAGUGAAAUGAUUUUACACUAUUUUACGCGUUGAAUAUGUAUUCUUUGCACGCAUUAAGAAUAAAAUGCUAGGCAGUAGUUGCUAGUGAGAUAUUGCUGACAAGAAAUAUUAAAAGCAAAACCAAU